rnacentral:rRNA from 1 species
UUGGAUUCAACUGUUAGCCGGUAGUAGUCCAGGCCACUCCUUAUCAGAUGGCGUCGGGCGCCCGCAGCGAUUCGCGUCGCUUGCGGUGUCGAUCGCGGCGUUUCACUGGUUCGGUGGUGUACCGCUCUGGAGCCUGGCGCAGCGCACUUCCUCCCUAGUAGAAACGUCGCGACCCGUUGGGUGCCGGUCUAAGGCCCGGGCAGGCAGCCCGUGCGUACCGGGGCGGUGAGCCCGUCGCGGUCGCGCGGACGUCCGGUGACCCGGCCGGCUGCCCGACGGUAGGACCAGAGGAGUCGAUCCGCUGAAAGAGAAGCACUUGGGUUUUGUGCAGCGUCCGGCCCCGCGCCGACGCGUGCGGGGAAGCGCCGGCUCCGGCCGGUAGGGUGUCCGUGUGCGUCACGGCCCCGGUCCCGUCACGCCGUCGGUAGUCGGGUGUCCUCGGACUGGAUCAGCACUCCCGUCGGCGACGCCCAUUUUCGGAUGGUCUCCCG